AGUGAACGCUGGCGGUAGGCCUAACACAUGCAAGUCGAACGGCAGCACAGUAAGAGCUUGCUCUUAGGGGUGGCGAGUGGCGGACGGGUGAGGAAUACAUCGGAAUCUACUUUUUCGUGGGGGAUAACGUAGGGAAACUUACGCUAAUACCGCAUACGACCUACGGGUGAAAGCAGGGGAUCUUCGGACCUUGCGCGAUUGAAAGAGCCGAUGUCGGAUUAGCUAGUUGGCGGGGUAAAGGCCCACCAAGGCGACGAUCCGUAGCUGGUCUGAGAGGAUGAUCAGCCACACUGGAACUGAGACACGGUCCAGACUCCUACGGGAGGCAGCAGUGGGGAAUAUUGGACAAUGGGCGCAAGCCUGAUCCAGCCAUACCGCGUGGGUGAAGAAGGCCUUCGGGUUGUAAAGCCCUUUUGUUGGGAAAGAAAAGCAGCAGGUUAAUACCCCGCUGUUCUGACGGUACCCAAAGAAUAAGCACCGGCUAACUUCGUG
rnacentral:rRNA from 1 species